AUUGAACGCUGGCGGCAUGCUUUACACAUGCCAGUCGAACGGCAGCGCGGGCUUCGGCCUGGCGGCGAGUGGCGAACGGGUGAGUAAUGCAUCGGAACGUGCCCAGUAGUGGGGGAUAGCCCGGCGAAAGCCGGAUUAAUACCGCAUACGACCUGAGGGUGAAAGCGGGGGACCGAAAGGCCUCGCGCUAUUGGAGCGGCCGAUGUCGGAUUAGCUAGUUGGUGGGGUAAAGGCUUACCAAGGCGACGAUCCGUAGCUGGUCUGAGAGGACGACCAGCCACACUGGGACUGAGACACGGCCCAGACUCCUACGGGAGGCAGCAGUGGGGAAUUUUGGACAAUGGGGGCAACCCUGAUCCAGCCAUGCCGCGUGCGGGAAGAAGGCCUUCGGGUUGUAAACCGCUUUUGUUCGGGAAGAAAUCCUCUGGGCUAAUACCCCGGGGGGAGGACGGUACCGGAAGAAUAAGCACCGGCUAACUACGG
rnacentral:rRNA from 1 species